CUUGCUUCUCUUGAGAGCGGCGGACGGGUGAGUAAUGCCUAGGAAUCUGCCUGGUAGUGGGGGAUAACGUCCGGAAACGGACGCUAAUACCGCAUACGUCCUACGGGAGAAAGCAGGGGACCUUCGGGCCUUGCGCUAUCAGAUGAGCCUAGGUCGGAUUAGCUAGUUGGUGGGGUAAUGGCUCACCAAGGCGACGAUCCGUAACUGGUCUGAGAGGAUGAUCAGUCACACUGGAACUGAGACACGGUCCAGACUCCUACGGGAGGCAGCAGUGGGGAAUAUUGGACAAUGGGCGAAAGCCUGAUCCAGCCAUGCCGCGUGUGUGAAGAAGGUCUUCGGAUUGUAAAGCACUUUAAGUUGGGAGGAAGGGCAGUAAAUUAAUACUUUGCUGUUUUGACGUUACCGACAGAAUAAGCACCGGCUAACUCUGUGCCAGCAGCCGCGGUAAUACAGAGGGUGCAAGCGUUAAUCGGAAUUACUGGGCGUAAAGCGCGCGUAGGUGGUUCGUUAAGUUGGAUGUGAAAUCCCCGGGCUCAACCUGGGAACUGCAUUCAAAACUGACGAGCUAGAGUAUGGUAGAGGGUGGUGGAAUUUCCUGUGUAGCGGUGAAAUGCGUAGAUAUAGGAAGGAACACCAGUGGCGAAGGCGACCACCUGGACUGAUACUGACACUGAGUGCGAAAGCGUGGGGAGCAAACAGGAUUAGAUACCCUGGUAGUCCACGCCGUAACGAUGUCAACUA
rnacentral:rRNA from 1 species